AACGAACGCUGGCGGCAUGCCUAACACAUGCAAGUCGAACGAGACCUUCGGGUCUAGUGGCGCACGGGUGCGUAACGCGUGGGAAUCUGCCCUUGGGUUCGGAAUAACUCACCGAAAGGUGUGCUAAUACCGGAUGAUGUCGAAAGACCAAAGAUUUAUCGCCCAGGGAUGAGCCCGCGUAGGAUUAGCUAGUUGGUGAGGUAAAGGCUCACCAAGGCGACGAUCCUUAGCUGGCUGAGAGGAUGAUCAGCCACACUGGGACUGAGACACGGCCCAGACUCCUACGGGAGGCAGCAGUGGGGAAUAUUGGACAAUGGGCGAAAGCCUGAUCCAGCAAUGCCGCGU
rnacentral:rRNA from 1 species